rnacentral:rRNA from 1 species
UUAAAAAUAUUAAGGAUUCCGCGCGCACGAGAGAGGGGGCUUCUACACCAAACAUCUCUGUAGAUGUUAAUCUUCCACGUGAUAAACUGGGGGUAAUUCUAGAAGCUAAUACUUGCACCAAAGCUCCAAUCUAAUGACAAGCGCAUCUAUUAGACCAAAAACCAAUCGAGAAUAUUCGCCUCAAAAACGAAUGCCUCGUAAAUUUGGUGACUCUGAAUAGCUUAGCUGAUCGCAUGGUCUCGCACCGGCGACGUAUCUAUCAAGUGUCUGCCUUAUCAACUUUCGAUGGUAGUUUAUAUGCCUACCAUGGUUGUAACGGGUAACGGAGAAUAAGGGUUCGACUCCGGAGAGGGAGCCUGAGAAACGGCUACCACAUCCAAGGAAGGCAGCAGGCGCGCAAAUUACCCACUCUCAGCACGAGGAGGUAGUGACGAAAAAUAACGAGACCGUUCUCUUCGAGGCCGGUUAUCGGAAUGAGUACAAUUUAAAGCCGUUAACGAGGAUCUAUGAGAGGGCAAGUCUGGUGCCAGCAGCCGCGGUAAUUCCAGCUCUCAAAGUGUAUAUCGUCAUUGCUGCGGUUAAAAAGCUCGUAGUUGGAUUUAAGCUCGAUGACCCGGUCCAUCCAUAGGAUGAGAACUGGGAUCAUCGGCUAAUCAUUGACUGGUUUUGCCUAGGUGGCUUUAAACGGUUGCCUAGGUUGGCUAGUAAGUUUACUUUGAAAAAAUUAGAGUGCUCAACGCGGGCUUAAUGCCUGAAUAGUCGUGCAUGGAAUAAUGGAAUAGGAUUUCGGUUCUAUUUUGUUGGUUUUUUUAACCGAAAUAAUGGUUAAGAGGGACAGACGGGGGCAUUCGUAUCGCUACGUGAGAGGUGAAAUUCUUGGACCGUAGCGAGACGCCCGACUGCGAAAGCAUUUCCCAGAAUGUCUUCUUAAUCAGAACAAAUCAAGGUCAGGAAUACCCCCCACACACACACAAACAGAGAGGGGG